CGCCCAUAACCCCAAUUUCCUUCUAGAGCUCUCUCUCUCCACUUCCCUCCAUCCUUUUUCAAGUAUCGGGGCGGCGGAUUGGGGGAGGUUUCCCGGAGCGAUCGUGGUCGGUGGGAGCGAUGAAGCGCGCCAGGGACGGGACGCCAUUGGUGCCCCCCUCAGACCAGUUAGUGGCUUUGCAUCCUCGUCGUCCCCUUCUUUUCCAUGUUCUGCGUUGACGUUGCAAUGGAGGAGAAAACUUGUGAUUCUUCAAGCCAGAAAUUCGACGGCCUGUUUUGAUUCUUUGCUGUUCUUUGAUCGGGCGCGAUUUCGAGGAUAUUCGUGAUAAACAAGGCUCCAAUCUACUCGCGUUUUAUUUCACCAGUUUUAAUGGUGUUUCGAUUCCGUCGUCUUUCUUCUCGUGAAGUCCGGUCCAGGUCCAGCCGCCGACUUGCAUGGAUCUGAAGCCGGCGGCCACCGACGCGUUUGCGUACAUCGCGGCCGUGAAGGACCAGCUCCAGGGCGAGCCCGACAAGUACCAGGAGCUCAUCAACACGUUGAUUGAAUUCCAGGGCAAUAGGAUAGACAAGAACUCUAUGCUCAGCCGUGUGAAGGUCCUGUUGGCUGGGUGUCCCGAGCUCAUCCUCGGCUUCAACGAGUUCUUGUCAACUUCCUGUGCACUCAAUAUUCAAGAGGACAAAAGGCAGCGGCAGGAGGAUAAAAAGCUGCUUUGAAGACAUUUGUUUGGCCAUAGCUAGCUUUGCAAACUCAGCUCUGAGGGCAAUGUAAAGAAGCUGGUAGGAAUAUGGUGAUCUGCGUUGUUUUUAUCAUGCGAGAUCGUCAUUUAGUUAACCAGGAUUAACAGUGAGGAACCCGAUGACCUUAACGUAGUGCAGUGGUAUAGUAUACUGGAAGUUGUUUUCCGCCAUCCCGAUGUUAAUAUCUGAUGCAGUGAAUGUCCACUGGGAAGAUUUGAUGAUAGAAGUUGAUGAGCAGAUGCCAUGAGCAGUUGGAUCGUGGCAUCAAAAUUGAUAUUAGCAUUCCUUUUAGAUGGUAAAGGAAAUUGAUUUUUUUUGGAUUUGUAGUAUUAUUUUUUACACAAAAAGCAUUUCUCCUAUUAUCUGUCUAUUAUUCUUUUUGAAUUAAAGUGUUUUCAAGAACUUGCUGUCAUGAUUUUUAUCAUAACAGAGUUGGCAUAACGCCCUCUUACAAUCCUAUUAGCCACCUCUACGGGUGCCGAACCGAAUAACAGACCAGAACUAUGAUUUCUACGA